UGAAGAAAAUCGGAUCAUGUCUCUGAGAUUCAGAGAGGCUUUUCUCUCCUGCAGCCCGGUGAUCGUUUCCUCCCAUGAAGAGAGCAGCUGCAGCGGCGUGGACCAGAUGCUGCCGCCGCCGAACAUCAGCAGCGAAACAGGAGAGAGAGGGAGGCCGCUGGUCGCAGUAAACGACUUGUUGGAUUUGAUGAGGAAGAAUGGAAACAUGAGAGAGAGACAUCAGUUCACCGCUGCUCCAGGAGGAAAAGUCCUGACUCCCACACCUCCAGUUAAACCCGUAAUCCGUAUCCUCGCCGCCUUUUCCCUCCAAGGUCAAAUCCACAAAUGAAAAACCUGAACAAAGACAGUCUGAAUCAGCGCUGGACUGGAUCGGCAGUGAUAAACUCUCAGACACGUGAAGCAGAAACAAACACUCAGACUGCAAAGCUGUGGGAACAUCUCUGGGAUAAUCACAUGACUCUUGUCUCUUUAAACUCAGGUGAUGUAGAGCAUACAAGUCUAGUUUUGGUCUUUGGGAACAGACAGACCAAUGAUAACAAGACCCUCAUCUAUGAGACCUACAUCGUCAGCCAUGUUUGUUCACUCUGAAGUCACGUUUGACCUGGAGAGAUUUGGGGGGAUUUCAGGUCCAGACAGUGUGGACUCUGUAAAGCCUGGUUUAUACUUAUGCACCUCUUCCAAAAUGUAACUACAUGUUGAAACAACACGGACUUCAAGCCCUGUGAAGCCCCUGGAAACAAGCAUCGAAUGUAGCAGGACCAGAAACAGGCGUAUCUCUAACUGGAGCUUCAAGGUUUGUCAAGCCAGCCGGCAUCCUGGACUCACUGACCCACCAGAGAUUGAUUCCCAUGUGACACCAAAACAUGAGCCCACAUAGAGUCCAGAUUAUUCAUGAAGAGAAAACUGAAAGAAGAAGCCUUCUCCACACCUCUUAGAUUUACCUCCAAUCCCAUUACAGAAAAAUCCAUCAUUGUAAUCUGGAGACAACAAUUUAUUCUUAAACCAAUACAUGAAACGGAGGGCGUUUGGGUCCCGACAGGUAGAGAGGGACAUCAUUUCCACUGGAGCGAGCUGCAGAAGGAUCAAAAUGUUUUACUUAAAAUUCCUGUUGUGGGACAAAUAAAGGA